CCUACGGGAGGCAGCAGUGGGGAAUAUUGCACAAUGGGGGAAACCCUGAUGCAGCGACGCCGCGUGAGUGAAGAAGUACUUCGUUACGUAAAGCUCUAUCAGCAGGGAAGAAAUACUGACCUUACGGUCAGCAGACGGUACCUGAGUAAGAAGCCCCGGCUAACUACGUGCCAGCAGCCGCGGUAAUACGUAGGGGGCAAGCGUUAUCCUGAUUUACUGGGUGUAAGGGGAGCGUAGACGGUGCGCCAAGUCUGGAGUGAAAUGCCGAAGCUUAACUGCGGAACUCCUUUGGAAACUGGCGAACUAGAGUGCGGGAGGGGUAAGCGGAAUUCCUAGUGUAGCGGUGAAAUGCGUAGAUAUUAGGAGGAACACCGGUGGCGAAGGCGGCUUACUGGACCGUAACUGACGUUGAGGCUCGAAAGCGUGGGGAGCAAACAGGAUUAGAUACCCCAGUAGUC
rnacentral:rRNA from 1 species